rnacentral:rRNA from 1 species
GCCUUAGUAACGGCGAGUGAAGCGGCAACAGCUCAAAUUUGAAAUCUGGCCUCUGGUCCGAAUUGUAAUUUGUAGAGGAUGCUUCGGCUUACGCCCCGGUCUAAGUUCCUUGGAACAGGACGUCACAGAGGGUGAGAAUCCCGUUUGUGGCCGGCGGCUGCUGCCAUGUGAAGCUCCUUCGACGAGUCGAGUUGUUUGGGAAUGCAGCUCUAAAUGGGAGGUAAAUUUCUUCUAAAGCUAAAUACCGGCCAGAGACCGAUAGCGCACAAGUAGAGUGAUCGAAAGAUGAAAAGCACUUUGGAAAGAGAGUUAAAAAGUACGUGAAAUUGUUGAAAGGGAAGCGCUUGCGACCAGACUUGCCCGCGGAUGCUCAACCGGUCCUUCGGCCGGUGCACUCUUCCGCGGUCAGGCCAGCAUCAGUUUGGGUGGUCGGAUAAAGGCCUUGGGAAUGUAGCUCUCUUCGGGGAGUGUUAUAGCCCUUGGUGCAAUACGUCCUACCUGGACUGAGGCCCGCGCUUCGGCUAGGAUGCUGGCGUAAUGGUCGUAAGCGGCCCGUCUUGAAACACGGACCAAGGAGUCUAACAUCUAUGCGAGUGUUUGGGUGUCAAACCCGUGCGCGAAAUGAAAGUGAACGGAGGUGGGAACCUUUGGGUGCACCAUCGACCGAUCCUGAUGUCUUCGGAUGGAUUUGAGUAAGAGCAUAGCUGUUGGGACCCGAAAGAUGGUGAACUAUGCCUGAAUAGGGUGAAGCCAGAGGAAACUCUGGUGGAGGCUCGCAGCGGUUCUGACGUGCAAAUCGAUCGUCAAAUUUGGGUAUAGGGGCGAAAGACUAAUCGAACUAUCUAGUAGCUGGUUCCUGCCGAAGUUUCCCUCAGGAUAGCAGUGACGUUUUCAGUUUUAUGAGGUAAAGCGAAUGAUUAGAGGCCUUGGGGUUGAAACAACCUUAACCUAUUCUCAAACUUUAAAUAUGUAAGAAGUCCUUGUUACUUAGUUGAACGUGGACAUUCGAAUGUAUCGU